rnacentral:rRNA from 1 species
GACGAACGCUGGCGGCGUGCUUAACACAUGCAAGUCGAACGGUAAGGCUCCAGCUUGCUGGGGUACACGAGUGGCGAACGGGUGAGUAACACGUGGGUGACCUGCCCUGCACUUCGGGAUAAGCCUGGGAAACUGGGUCUAAUACCGGAUAGGACCGCACCGUGAGGGUGUGGUGGAAAGUUUUUUCGGUGUGGGAUGGGCCCGCGGCCUAUCAGCUUGUUGGUGGGGUAAUGGCCUACCAAGGCGGCGACGGGUAGCCGGCCUGAGAGGGUGGACGGCCACAUUGGGACUGAGACACGGCCCAGACUCCUACGGGAGGCAGCAGUGGGGAAUAUUGCACAAUGGGCGGAAGCCUGAUGCAGCGACGCCGCGUGGGGGAUGACGGCCUUCGGGUUGUAAACUCCCUUCACCAUCGACCAAGGGUUUCUGACGGUAGAUGGAGAAGAAGCACCGGCUAACUACGUGCCAGCAGCCGCGGUAAUACCUAGGGUGCGAGUGGUGUCCGGACCAACUGGGCGUAAAGAGGUCGCAGGGGGGUUUUUCCCGAAAUAUGUGAAAUUUCCCGGCCUAACUCCCGGGGCGGGCAAGU